rnacentral:tRNA from 1 species
GAGGGUGUAACUCAGUGGUAGAGUGUGUGCCUAGCAUGCACAAGGUGCUGGGUUCAAUUCCCCAGUACUUCCA